GGGGCUGUAGUCUAGCUUGGCAGGAUUCACCCUUGGGGUGGGUGCGACCGGGGUUCGAAUCCUCGCAGCCCCA
rnacentral:tRNA from 1 species